rnacentral:rRNA from 1 species
GUUGUUGGGUAGGGGAGCGUUCUGUAAGCCGUCGAAGGUGUGCUGUGAGGCAUGCUGGAGGUAUCAGAAGUGCGAAUGCUGACAUAAGUAACGAUAAAGCGGGUGAAAAGCCCGCUCGCCGGAAGACCAAGGGUUCCUGUUCAACGUUAAUCGGAGCAGGGUGAGUCGACCCCUAAGGCGAGGCCGAAAGGCGUAGUCGAUGGGAAACAGGUUAAUAUUCCUGUACUCGGUGUUACUGCGAAGGGGGGACGGAGAAGGCUAUAUCAGCCGGGCGACGGUUGUCCCGGUUUAAGCGUGUAGGCGGAGGGUCCAGGUAAAUCCGGACUCUUAUCAACGCUGAGGCGUGACGACGAGGCACUACGGUGCUGAAGUGAUAAAUGCCUGGCUUCCAGGAAAAGCCUCUAAGCAUCAGGUAACACAGAAUCGUACCCCAAACCGACACAGGUGGUCAGGUAGAGAAUACCAAGGCGCUUGAGAGAACUCGGGUGAAGGAACUAGGCAAAAUGGUGCCGUAACUUCGGGAGAAGGCACGCUGGCGCGUAGGUGGAGGGA